rnacentral:rRNA from 1 species
UGGGGAAUAUUGCACAAUGGGCGCAAGCCUGAUGCAGCCAUGCCGCGUGUAUGCAGAAGGCCUUCGGGUUGUAAAGUACUUUCAGCGGGGAGGAAGGGAGUAAAGUUAAUACCUUUGCUCAUUGACGUUACCCGCAGAAGAAGCACCGGCUAACUCCGUGCCAGCAGCCGCGGUAAUACGGAGGGUGCAAGCGUUAAUCGGAAUUACUGGGCGUAAAGCGCACGCAGGCGGUUGAUUGAGUCAGAUGUGAAAUCCCCGGGCUUAACCCGGGAAUUGCAUCUGAUACUGGUCAGCUAGAGUCUUGUAGAGGGGGGUAGAAUUCCAUGUGUAGCGGUGAAAUGCGUAGAGAUGUGGAGGAAUACCGGUGGCGAAGGCGGCCCCCUGGACAAAGACUGACGCUCAGGUGCGAAAGCGUGGGGAGCAAACAGG